rnacentral:rRNA from 1 species
GACGAACGCUGGCGGCGUGCUUAACACAUGCAAGUCGAACGAAGAGCGAUGGAAGCUUGCUUCUAUCAAUCUUAGUGGCGAACGGGUGAGUAACGCGUAAUCAACCUGCCCUUCAGAGGGGGACAACAGUUGGAAACGACUGCUAAUACCGCAUACGAUCCAAUCUCGGCAUCGGGACUGGAUGAAAGGUGGCCUCUAUUUAUAAGCUAUCACUGAAGGAGGGGAUUGCGUCUGAUUAGCUAGUUGGAGGGGUAACGGCCCACCAAGGCGAUGAUCAGUAGCCGGUCUGAGAGGAUGAACGGCCACAUUGGGACUGAGACACGGCCCAGACUCCUACGGGAGGCAGCAGUGGGGAAUCUUCCGCAAUGGACGAAAGUCUGACGGAGCAACGCCGCGUGAGUGAUGACGGCCUUCGGGUUGUAAAGCUCUGUUAAUCGGGACGAAUGGUUCUUGUGGGAAUAGUGCGAGGAUUUGACGGUACCGGAAUAGAAAGCCACGGCUAACUACGUG